GCCGGGGUAGCUCAACGGUAGAGCACCUGCUUCGUAAGCAGGUUGUUGUGGGUUCGAUCCCCAUCCCCGGCU
rnacentral:tRNA from 1 species